rnacentral:lncRNA from 1 species
CUCUUGAAUACCUCAUCAACACCGCAGGUGACCCGGAGCCCGCUGCUCCGCUCGGCCCCGCCCCGGGCAGCUAUUUGGCACAUUUCAAUUAGCGUAACGGGUGCCUGGUAAACAGCCGAGGCCGGCUGCGGGCACCUGCAAUCCCCGACCCCCGACGCCCUCCCCGAGACCCUGGAGACGCGGCUCCGCCCCCACCGGUAAUUAGGAGAUUUUCAAGGCCUAUGUCCCCAAAGCCCAGCCCAGCUGGAGAGAUCAGCCCUGCGGUCCUGCCGCGCACUCCACCGCCAGCCUCUCGGGAGUCAAGGGAUCCGCCUUCAGGGUGAAUUGGGGUUCCACCAUGUCACCCUCAUGGAGCUUUCGUUAGCCUUGUUUGGGAUACAAAGGGGUAAGUGUCCCCUCAUUUUAGAGAAAGAUCAAGAGCCAGUGAACAGGAUUUCCCAGCCAGGGACAUGGAGCAGGGCACCUGCAGAUGGUCCACGUGCUCUUGGCUGAUGGCAGCCCACCUCCGGGAGGGGCCUGUGCACCUUUCUCCCAGGAGGAGGGAAGGACCCAAUCAUUAUCCAGAGUCAACGGGCCUUUGCACAGGCUGUUCCUGCUGCCUGGAAGCUCAUCCUUUUGGCUCACUCCCUCACUUCCUGCCCAAAUGUCAUCUCCAUGAGAUCGCCCUGGAAACCCAGGACUACCUUCCCACCUUCCACACUCCCUUGCCCUCUUGCUAUAAUUUUCUCUA